GGCAGCCCUGCCGCCUGUCCCGCGCUCCACGGGCGGCUGCUGCGGGUGCCGCGGAUCCCCUCCGGCCUACAGGCCGGCGGCUGAAGCCCGUGAGCGGCAGCCCUGUGACUGCCGCAUUCUCCCCGGUGGGGCUGGGAGCCGUGUUUCUCCUCCACUGCCCCAUGGGCCUCUCUUCCUGAGAGGACUUGGAAGGGCAGGUGAGCGGACAAACUACUCUUCACGGGCCUCUCCUGCACGGGCGUCCCGAGGGCCCCUCGCGCGCAGUUGCCACCUUUGCCGGCCUGGUGCCAUGGCCUACCCAGGCCUCUGCCCCAGGAGCCCCAGGGUGCGGGUCCCCACGCCGUUCUCAGGCCUUGCCGGUCAGUCACAGCUGUGCAAGGGAAAGCUGAAGGGAGCCCAGGUGGGCCGCCCCCGCAUUCCUCCCGGUCCUCGACAUAGGCCGCCCGACCCUGAUGACGGAAGGCACUACCCGUGCCCACGUGGUGAGCGCUCUUCCUCCUGCGGUUCCUGGACACAGAGCUCAGAAUGCCCGGCUUGGAGCCAUAGGUUAUGAUUCAGGACUCUUACUGUGUCCCCUGGCAAGAACGUGGCUGCUUUGAGUGCCGGGUCUGCUGAACCUGCAAACCCCAAUCCUGAGGAAGCAGGAAGCCUCUGGCUGCGUCAUUGAGACUGACGUUGUAGGAGUAACCCAGCAGUUCACUCUGGAGACUCAUCCCGGAGAGGUGUUGCCAUAUUACACUCUUCUGAAGCACCCCAAGUCCCCAGAGUGACAUCCUGAAGUCAUGUGAGUGGCUGAAGAGAAGAGAAAACGGUCCGUCUGGUACUCCAGGGCCUCCACUCUUGCACUGUCCACCAUUCACCCCCACAGACCAAAGAACCAUGAGACCAAGAAACCACUGAGAUGGAAUCCCUCCUAUUGAUGCCCAAGAGUGAAUCCUGAAUGUUUUUCUUCCUUGAGAUGCAGACCCAGGAGAACAAGACCUAAGAUAAGCAAUUCCAUUUCUCACCUUCUUCUCAGCCCAAUUUCAAAUUCCAGUUCCAUGCUUAAAGAAUUACUCUCUCCUUGACACUGGACAUUUCAAAGGGCAGGGAGCUCCCCAGAAGGGAAUGGCCUUCCCUGUUAGGUCUUAGGAUAACCAUCUCUCCAAGAAGUUAUCUAGGAGUCAUUUUGACCCAAAGCUUCCUAAGAUAAAACCAGCUACCCUAUAAUUCUUACAUGGUGGCUGGUGUGCCAACUCGAGGCACACAUAGUGACUGCUACCAUGAGAUGGGCCACACCUCUCAAAAAUGGACCCGUCUUGCCAGUGGGUUUCAGCCCUGGGCAAGUUCACAAUUGAUUCAAUGUGACCAAAGAAAUGACAGUAGAACAUUCUUGGGGUGAAAGGGUUUAUACCUAACUUUAUUUCCAGGUGGCAGGUCAAUCACUAAAAUCCCGUUCACUCAGAGCGAGUCUGCAUGCAGCAAGCCAGUCUCUGCCUCUGGGCCUCUCUGCCCGCACAGCCGUCCUCUGCGCCUCUGUCCUCAGUGCUACCACUACUCCAGCCUCUGCUCUCCUGCAGCCUUGCAGCCAUGCCACCAUGUCGCCCAGAGCACUGAGCAGAGCUCUUUAUAAAGAGUCAAUAACGACACAUUGCCCACACGUGUGUAGUGAGCUAGCCAACCAGGGCCAGGUGAGAAUCUUGGCCACAGGAACCUUCAUUUUAUCCACAACCCCUGAGGUCUCUUUCAGACUCAACACCCCAGGUUUCGUCCCCUCCUUGUUUGCCAGGGCUUUGAAUCUCCUUCCUCUCCUGUUUACAGUUCUCCCAUUACUUUUAGGGCACUUGCCUCUGAAAGUGAGGCCCCUGGAAAGAAAUAGCUGACUCCAGGUGUGGUGUGACAGAUGCCAGACUUCCAGCUCAGAGGAUUUUACACUUUGCCACCCCCAAAGUAAGUGUAUGAACAGUACAUUUUAAAUGCCUGGAGAAAACUUGCUGCAAUUUCUCCAUCUGGGUCUGGAGUCUGUCGGCUUGAAGCUUCAUCUGAACAGUGAGUAUACUUUUGCCUUUGGGGAGGGUGAGCAGCAUGAGAGAGCGAGCCGAGGACACUGGACAGAACAGACAGUGGCCUCAGGAUUUUGCUGAGGUCUAAGCCUGUCUUGCCCUCUAGCUAUUGGAAAGGGCAGUUCCUUCUCGCACUCUUCUCACCUCCAGUCUUACUUACCUGGUAGACCGACUACAUGUUUGUUUUUAAUAAAGAACACAUUUAACAUUUUGACCUUUGUUAGCCCAUUUAACAAAUGUCACUGCAUG